rnacentral:tRNA from 2 species
GGAGAUAUAGCUCAGCCUGGGAGAGCUCUAGGUUGAAGACCUGGGAAUGCAGUGGUUCAAAUCCACUUAUCUCCA